rnacentral:rRNA from 1 species
UACGUAGGGGCAAGCGUUGUCCGGAAUUAUUGGCGUAAAGAGCGCGUAGGCGGUCCGGUAAGUCGGUUGUGAAAGUCGGGGGCUCAACCCUCGGAUGCCGAUCGAUACUGUCGGGCUAGAGUCCGGAAGAGGCGAGUGGAAUUCCUGGUGUAGCGGUGAAAUGCGCAGAUAUCAGGAGGAACACCAAUGGCGAAGGCAGCUCGCUGGGACGGUACUGACGCUGAGGCGCGAAGCGUGGGAGCAAACAGG